AUUGAACGCUGGCGGCAGGCCUAACACAUGCAAGUCGAACGAGUGGCGGACGGGUGAGUAAUGUCUGGGAAACUGCCUGAUGGAGGGGGAUAACUACUGGAAACGGUAGCUAAUCCCGCAUACCCUCCGCUGUGCCCAGAUGGGAUUAGCUAGUUGGUGGGGUAACGGCUCCCCUAGGCGACGAUCCCUAGCUGGUCUGAGAGGAUGCCCAGCCACACUGGAACUGAGACACGGUCCAGACUCCUACGGGAGGCAGCAGUGGGGAAUAUUGCACAAUGGGCGCAAGCCUGAUGCAGCCAUGCCGCGUGUAUGAAGAAGGCCUUCGGGUUGUAAAGUACUUUCAGCGGGGAGGCGUUACCCGCAGAAGAAGCACCGGCUAACUCCGUGCCAGCAGCCGCGGUAAUUC
rnacentral:rRNA from 1 species